rnacentral:rRNA from 1 species
UACGUAGGUGGCAAGCGUUGUCCGGAUUUACUGGGCGUAAAGCGCGCGUAGGCGGCUUUGUAAGUUAGAGGUGAAAGCCCGGGGCUCAACCCCGGAACUGCCUUUAAGACUGCAUCGCUUGAAUCCAGGAGAGGUGAGUGGAAUUCCGAGUGUAGAGGUGAAAUUCGUAGAUAUUCGGAAGAACACCAGUGGCGAAGGCGGCUCACUGGACUGGUAUUGACGCUGAUGUGCGAAAGCGUGGGGAGCAAACAGG